UACGAAGGGGGCUAGCGUUGCUCGGAAUCACUGGGCGUAAAGGGUGCGUAGGCGGGUAUUUAAGUCAGGGGUGAAAUCCUGGAGCUCAACUCCAGAACUGCCUUUGAUACUGAGUAUCUUGAGUACGGGAGAGGUGAGUGGAACUGCGAGUGUAGAGGUGAAAUUCGUAGAUAUUCGGAAGAACACCAGUGGCGAAGGCGGCUCACUGGCCCGGUACUGACGCUGAGGUGCGAAAGCGUGGGGAGCAAACAGG
rnacentral:rRNA from 1 species